rnacentral:rRNA from 1 species
UACGUAGGGUGCGAGCGUUGUCCGGAAUUAUUGGGCGUAAAGAGCUCGUAGGCGGUCUGUCGCGUCGAUCGUGAAAACUUGGGGCUUAACCCUGAGCUUGCGGUCGAUACGGGCAUGACUGGAGUUCGGCAGGGGAGACUGGAAUUCCUGGUGUAGCGGUGAAAUGCGCAGAUAUCAGGAGGAACACCGGUGGCGAAGGCGGGUCUCUGGGCCGACAUUGACGCUGAGGAGCGAAAGCGUGGGGAGCGAACAGG